rnacentral:misc_RNA from 1 species
AAUCAGAAAUUAACUUAAAUAACAUAACCUAACUUAAAAUGACAUUUAGCUGUCAACAAUGUCAAUUAAAUUAGUAAAUUCUCAAAUAGUUAUGAGGUAUUAUUAAAUUCUUUUUGUUUAAAAUAAAAUAAUAAGGCACCGGCGGUCGAAGAAUUUUUUCAAAAAUGUAACGUCACUAAUAAGUAGGAUAUGCGGAGUGUCUAGUUACACACCGGGCUCGGUAAUAAUGGAUACUAACAAUGUGAUACUAAGUUAUCAUGAGAGCUUGCUUCGAAAAUCCGAUGUGGAGUUAUUAAAAGGCCCCUGUUGGUUAAACGACACUGUCAUAUCAUUUUAUUUUGAGUACCUCGAGAUAAACAAGUUUAAAAGCGAUCCCAUGUUAUUGUUCGUCCCGCCACAAGUAACCCAGUGCAUAAAAGUGAGUCCUUCAAACGAAAUCGGCAUCUUCCUUGACCCGCUCAAUUCGCAUAACAAAGAUUUUAUUUUCUUCGCACUCAACGACAACGAACAAACUGAAUGUUCCGGAGGAAGUCAUUGGAGUUUAUUGGUAUUCUCAUAUCCAGAGAGAGCUGUUUAUCAUUACGACUCAUCGCGUGGGAGCAAUCAACACCAAGCUUACGAAUUCGCUAACAAAUUAUUUAAAUUUUACGGCAUGAUUCGACAUGGAAAUUAUAAUGAACCUGAUUGUCUUCAACAAACCAACGGAUAUGAUUGUGGCGUUCAUGUUUUAUGUAACACAGAGAAUAUCGCUAAUUAUGCUUUAAUUAAAAGACGAAUUGAAGGUUGUCCUACGCUCGAUAGACACAAUGUUAGUAGCAAACGUAAUGAAAUUUUGGAUUUAAUCCAUAUACUAAGAAGAAAUAGUAUGAACAACAAAUAAUUAAUUAAUUAAUUUUUGUGAUGAUGUGGUUUAAAAAAAUGGGGUAUUUUUUUUUAUUUAAUAAGCUUUUUUAAUUAAUAAAUGAUUGCAUUAAAAAAGUAAUUUAUUUUUAAAACGUAACCUAACAUUAAUGACACCUGUCAAAAAUAAAUAUUAAAAUUGUGCCUAUUUUAAUCUGAUAAAUAAUAAUUAACCUUGGUUAUUAUUGUUAUUAUGUGGUGCUUAUCGUAAUAAUCAUCUUUAUAUUCAUCCUGUUUGUGCCAUCAAGUAAAUAACGAUUAUUUGUGCCUUAAUCGGAAAUGAGUAAUUUUUAUUAUAAACCAUCUCCUAAUAACAUUUCGAAUCAUUUUUGCUUGGUAACUUCAACAUGAUGGAUAAAGCUUUAUUCUCGUUGGUUAUUCUUGUAAUAAUCUUCCAAAUUUGUCUCUCUAAAAGCAUUUCGGAGGAAAAUCAUCAUUUAAGGAUCGAAAGGGAUGCGCAAGAUUUCCGUGGAGCAUCUCCCCCAAUUCAGCCACCAAAUGGUGUUGAUGGAGUCAUUGGAAUCGCUUGGGAGGUUAUCCAAAAAAUUCCGGGUGUUGGGCGCAAAUAAAAUAAUCUUAUUUAUUAAGUAAUUAGUUAAUAAUAUUAUUAUUGUAUAAUUAUUAUUAUGAAUGUCACAAUAAAACUUUGUUUCAACUCAAAA